ACUAAAAUUUAGUCAGUUUCAUUGGUUACCAUUUAGACUCAAUCAUACAUGGGAUAUUGUAUCUGUUAACUAUACGCGGUACAACACAAUGUCAUUUGGAACUUGAUGUCAUAUACUGUCUCUUCAAGAAAUUUAUUAAAAGCAAUGUUUUUUACAAGCCUAUGCAUCGGCAUCAUGAGUUCCGUAACAUUGCUAUCGUCCAUUAUAGAAAAAAGAUUAAUUCCCCAUUGAAUCGAUAUGAGGAAAUAAGGAAUUACAAAGUUUCAACACAACGAAUUAACUCCUAUCUUUGGUGCUUCAACCAUUCGUUGAUUGGCGUCUUCAGAACUCUUUCAGAUCUUUGAAAGAAGUCAAGAAAUCUUGAUGAUUAGUUAUGUGUCUUACCCUCUUACAUUAUGUCCUCAUAUGGCGUAAAUGUAAUAAAUUUCAUAACCUUUUUCAUUCAUCUUAACCAUAUGUUUUAAGUAACCAGCAUCACAACUCAAUAACACAACAAUAGCUAGAAAUGACAUCAUCAUUUUCUAAGCGUAAAGAUCUUUCAAUAUGUUCUCAUCGGCUGUUUGGGAACACUUAUUCUCAACAUUUAACUUAAUGAUGUACGAGUAUAAACUCAACCCUAGAUGGUGUCGAUUAAAUUUUUAUUGUA
rnacentral:sRNA from 1 species